rnacentral:sRNA from 1 species
GCCAGGUGCAGUGGUGAACACCUGUAAUCCCAAGGACUUGGGAGGCUGAGCCAGGAGGAUCCCAAGUUGAAAGCCAGCCUCAGCAACUCAGUGAGACCCCGUCUCUA